AGUACAAGUGCAAUAACUAAUCGGUAGCUUAUAUCAUAAAAACAAAUUACAAAACACAGAAAACAAACUUUGGUUCACCGUUAUAAGUUGUAAAACAUGUUUGACAUGUUCUCAAUAUUUUAUAAAAUAAAUUACAGAGCAAAUAAUAAAAUAGUUAUAUCGCACUUUCCAAAAAUUCUACUCCACUUUUCUUAUCUUAACCCUAUCUCUUUAUCCUGUUAUUCAUUACGGUGAACUUCUCUGUUAGAUUUCAUCCUCUCUCACCUUCAACUUUUGAUAUUUUUUUCCUCUUUCAAUUUUCUUCAAACACCGAUUCUUCAUCUUUCCACCCACGGCAAAAUCAGGUAAUUUUUCAUACAAUUUUUUUUCUCUACCGAAAAUUCUCUCUCAUCUAACUAUGUACAUUUGAUGGUUGUCGAAGCCAACAAAAAUAAAUACCUACUCUAAAUAAAUUGUGUAUAGUGAUUGAGCAGGGUCGUGUCCACAGAGAUCGGUAAUUAUUUAAAUCCUUUUAAAAUGUAAAAUGCAAAAUGGGGGGAUUGUUGACAAUAAUAAAAAUCAAAUUAAAAUAAAAAGAAUGCAAUUUCAAAAUUGUAAUUCAAAUUGGGGAAAGCUCUGGUUGAAGGAAUUAACUCAGCUUGAUUCGACUACUGAUCAUUGAUUCAAAUAUAAAUCAUUACUACUUAUGAAUAGACCGGUUAUAGCUACUGAGACCUUCUAAUAGCCAAUCUCUCCUUAACUAGUCGAUAACCAAGGUACGACCGUUGGUUAUUUCCCUAAUCAAUAGACAACCCUAGAUACGAUCAUAGGAUUUAAUCAAUUGACAGCUUGAAAAACCAGAGAGACCCAAAUCCUAAUCAACAAACACAUACGAUGGUUCAUUUAAAUUAGAUUGUUUAUUCUCAUAACACAACGCACUGCUAGUUAUUUGUCACAAACAUUAAAAUCUUCAUAUGAUGAAUCUUUUAAUUGACAAUAGAUUAAGUUGAUAAUUAAAUAGUGGCCAAUUAUCUAAUUAACAAACAUAAUCAUGACAAUAAUUCAGAGAAUAAACAAAUACCCAAAAAGCAAUAAAACAAUUAAAGCAUAAGAAAGAUCUCACAGUAGUGAUGAAUCAAAGCUUCAUUAACCUUCAACCAGAAUAAUAGGUUUAGUUCUUUAUAGAGAGAAGAGAAAAAUUUAGAUCUAAGGUUUCUUUUUUUUCCUCAAAAUCCCCAAUAGAUUCCUCCCUUAAAUUCUCCUCUCUCUCUUCUCCUCUAGAGUUCUUUUUAAAUAAAAUACUAAUAUCUAAAAUAUUAUCUAAAUAUUAAAUUCGUAAUUACAAAAAUAACCAAAAAGACAAAACAUGUUAAACUAAAAACUACAGGUCCGUAGUUGACAGCACGCGCCCACGCCUUAUCAACAAAGUUCUUUUGAAGCUCAUAAUUUCUCUAGGAAAACAAUCAUCCUCAAACAUCAUCUUGUAGCUCAAUUUUAGCACCAAUCAAUAGAAUUGCACCUACAAAAAUAAAACACAAGUAAAUCACUAUUAUUAAGUGCAAAACAUCGAUAUUAAAGGAAGUAAACAAUGCAAAACUAGUGCAUAAAUUGUACUCUAACAACAUUUUUUAUUUUACUCUUGUUUUAUUUGUCAUACAAUUUUUUUCUUAUCUUUAUGUGCAAGAAUUGCAACCUUGCAGAGUUACAGGUGAGUUUUUUUCUUCUUUUCUUUUUUAUUGCCAUUUUUUAAAUCUUUUUGUAUCUAUUUUUGUUCUUCACACACAAUAUAUGAUUUUAUCUCUGAUAUUUAGAAAAAUUAUAUGAAAACACAACAUAUUUAUGUGGAUCUGUACUAAUAUUUAUAGAUCUACAUAUAUAAGAAUUGAUAUAAAGUUAUUUUAAUUUAUUUUGUUUAUUAUUUCCUUUUAAUUGAAUUAGAACUUUUUCAUUUUGUUUUUUAUACUGAUAUUGAUGAUCCAAUGGGUCUAUUUGUACUGUUGAGCUAGCAUUUGUUGAUGAGCCAAGUGGCUGCUUCUUUUGUUUGGCUAAUUGUUGAAUUAAAAACUAGACUACACUUGUCACCAUGUAUGCAAUUCAUGGCCAAAUGUUUUGUUUGCUAGCAGGUUUGGUAUGUUAUGUUUGCUAAGCAAGAUAAUGCACUAGCUUUAUUCUUUUUUCCCUAAUAAGAUUAGUAAGUAAAAAAGUGCUCAUUAUGAAUACUUAGGGCCAUAGUCUCUACAGAGUACCAAUUUCUUAAAAAAGUGUUUUCUUACUUUUAUAUAUAUAUUGGGUUUUUACUUUAUCUUGUUUUUGUGUGCAUAUUGUGCAUGUUAGUUUGUUUAAGCUAAGUAUGUUUAGGAGCAAUUUUUUUUUAUAUUGAUUAAUAUUAAGAUAUGGAUCCUCAUGAAGUUGAUGGUGAGGAUAAGGCUGAUUGGUUUGGUGUAUAGUGCAUGACCAUGUUAAAAUAGGUGAUUGACAAACAUCAACUUUCACAAAGAAAAUUUGUCUCUUGCAAGUGUCGCAAAGAUAAAUGCUACAAGAGAUAGA
rnacentral:lncRNA from 1 species